UACGGGGGGGGCAAGCGUUGUUCGGAAUUACUGGGCGUAAAGGGCUCGUAGGCGGCCAACUAAGUCAGACGUGAAAUCCCUCGGCUUAACCGGGGAACUGCAUCUGAUACUGGAUGGCUUGAGAUUGGGAGAGGGAUGCGGAAUUCCAGGUGUAGCGGUGAAAUGCGUAGAUAUCGGGAGGAACACCAGUGGCGAAGGCGGCGAUCUGGACAGAUAUUGACGCUGAGGUGCGAAAGCGUGGGGAGCAAACAGG
rnacentral:rRNA from 1 species